ensembl:lncRNA
GUGUUAGGAGUAUGACGGGAGUGUUAGGAGUAUGACGGGAGUGUUAGGAGUAUGACGGGAGUAUUAGGAGUAUGACGGGAGUGUUGGGAGUAUGACGGGAGUGUUGGGAGUAUGACGGGAGUGUUGGGAGUAUGACGGGAGUGUUAGGAGUGUUAGGAGUAUGACGGGAGUGUUGGGAGUGUGACGGGAGUGUUGGGAGUGUGAAGAGUGUUAGGAGUAUGACGGGAGUGUUAGAAGUGUGACGGGAGUGUUGGUAGUAUGACGGGAGUGUUGGGAGUGUGACGGGAGUGUUAGGAGUAUGACGGAGUGUUAGGAGUGUUAGGAGUAUGACGGGAGUGUUGGGAGUAUGACGGGAGUGUUAGGAGUAUGACGGGAGUGUUAGGAGUGUUAGGAGUAUGACGGGAGUGUUGGGAGUGUGGGGAGUGUUGGUAGUAUGACGGAGUGUUGGUAGUAUGACGGGAGUGUUGGUAGUAUGACGGGAGUGUUGGGAGUAUGACGGAGUUGUUGGGAGUAUGACGGGAGUGUUGGGAGUAUGACGGGGAUGUUAGGAGUGUUAGGAGUAUGACGGGAGUGUUGGGAGUAUGACGG